GAUGAACGCUGGCGGCGUGCCUAAUACAUGCAAGUCGAGCGAACGGACGAGAAGCUUGCUUCUCUGAUGUUAGCGGCGGACGGGUGAGUAACACGUGGAUAACCUACCUAUAAGACUGGGAUAACUUCGGGAAACCGGAGCUAAUACCGGAUAAUAUUUUGAACCGCAUGGUUCAAAAGUGAAAGACGGUCUUGCUGUCACUUAUAGAUGGAUCCGCGCUGCAUUAGCUAGUUGGUAAGGUAACGGCUUACCAAGGCAACGAUGCAUAGCCGACCUGAGAGGGUGAUCGGCCGCACUGGAACUGAGACACGGUCCAGACUCCUACGGGAGGCAGCAGUAGGGAAUCUUCCGAAAUGGGCGAAAGCCUGACGGAGCAACGCCGCGUGAGUGAUGAAGGUCUUCGGAUCGUAAAACUCUGUUAUUAGGGAAGAACAUAUGUGUAAGUAACUGUGCACAUCUUGACGGUACCUAAUCAGAAAGCCACGGCUAACUACGUG
rnacentral:rRNA from 1 species